AGAGUUUGAUCAUGGCUCAGGACGAACGCUGGCGGCGUGCUUAACACAUGCAAGUCGAACGAAGCAGUUCUCCCGUCUCGGAAGAUACUUCGGUAUUUGAAGAGACACCUGAACUGACUUAGUGGCGGACGGGUGAGUAACGCGUGAGCAACCUGCCCAUAAGAGGGGGAUAACAGCUGGAAACGGCUGCUAAUACCGCAUAAGACCACAAUACCGCAUGGUAAAGGGGUCAAAGAACGGAAUCGCUUAUGGAUGGGCUCGCGUCCCAUUAGAUAGUUGGCAGGGUAAAAGCCUACCAAGUCGACGAUGGGUAGCCGACCUGAGAGGGUGAUCGGCCACACUGGAACUGAGACACGGUCCAGACUCCUACGGGAGGCAGCAGUGGGGAAUAUUGGGCAAUGGGCGCAAGCCUGACCCAGCAACGCCGCGUGAGGGAAGAAGGCCUUUGGGUUGUAAACCUCUGUCCUAUGGGAAAAAUGAAGUGAUGGUACCAUAGGAGGAAGCUCCGGCUAACUACGUGCCAGCAGCCGCGGUAAUACGUAGGGAGCAAGCGUUGUCCGGAAUUACUGGGCGUAAAGGGUGCGUAGGCGGUAACUUAAGUCAGAUGUGAAAUGUCGGGGCUCAACUCCGGAGCUGCAUCUGAUACUGAGUAACUUGAGUACAGGAGAGGAAAGUGGAAUUCCUAGUGUAGCGGUGGAAUGCGUAGAUAUUAGGAGGAACACCAGUGGCGAAGGCGACUUUCUGGACUGUAACUGACGCUGAGGCACGAAAGUGUGGGGAGCAAACAGGAUUGGAUACCCUGGUAGUCCACACUGUAAACGAUGAAUACUAGGUGUAGGCGACGAAUGUUGUCUGUGCCGCAGCAAACGCAAUAAGUAUUCCGCCUGGGGAGUACGUUCGCAAGAAUGAAACUCAAAGGAAUUGACGGGGGCCCGCACAAGCAGCGGAGCAUGUGGUUUAAUUCGAAGCAACGCGAAGAACCUUACCAAGGCUUGAAUCCCAAUGACGUACAUAGAGAUAUGUAUUUCUUCGGACAUUGGAGACAGGUGGUGCAUGGUUGUCGUCAGCUCGUGUCGUGAGAUGUUGGGUUAAGUCCCGCAACGAGCGCAACCCUUGUCACUAGUUGCCAGCACUGAGGGUGGGAACUCUAGUGAGACUGCCGGGGACAACUCGGAGGAAGGUGGGGAUGACGUCAAAUCAUCAUGCCCUUUAUGUCUUGGGCUACACACGUGCUACAAUGGUCGGUACAAAGAGCAGCGACCCCGCAAGGGCAAGCGAAUCUCACAAAGCCGGUCUCAGUUCAGAUUGUGGGCUGCAACCCGCCCACAUGAAGUUGGAGUUGCUAGUAAUCGCGAAUCAGCAUGUCGCGGUGAAUGCGUUCCCGGGUCUUGUACACACCGCCCGUCACACCAUGGAAGUUGGGGGCGCCCAAAGUUGGCUAAUUAAUCUGCUACCUAAGGCGAAACCAAUGACUGGGGUGAAGUCGUAACAAGGUAGCCGUA
rnacentral:rRNA from 1 species